GGCGCGGGAGCGGAGGUAGGCGUCGAGCACCUCGCGGCGGACCAUGCCGAUGUACUCGUGCGGCGCGAGCGUGCCGCCGAUGUCGACGGCGACGUUGGACGGCGAAAUCAUCUUCAUCUUCCUCACCUUCCUGUCGACGAGGUCCAGCGGCAGGUCGAACUCCGACACCAUGCACAGCGGGAUGGCCCCGCCGCAGGGCUUGCAGUUGUCCAGCUUCCGUUCGAUGAGCACCGUCUCCACGCCGCCCUUGGCCAGCGCCUCCGCCGCCGCGCC
rnacentral:misc_RNA from 1 species